UUUUUAAAAACAUCGCUCUUUGUAAUUUAUAAAUAGAGAGUCGUGCCUGCCCAGUGAAAGUGAUUUAACGGCCGCAGUACCCUGACUGUGCUAAGGUAGCAUAAUCAUUUGCCUUUUAAUUGGAGGCUAGAAUGAAUGGCUUGACGAGAAUUUGGCUGUCUCUAUUAUAUUAUAUAAAAAUUAUUAUUUAGGUGAAGAAACCUGAAUGUAAUCAAAAGACGAAAAGACCCUGUCGAGCUUAAAAUUUGUGUUUAAAUUUAUAGUUUUGGAAUAACAAAUAUUUAAUUAUUGAUUUUUUGUUGGGGUGACAGAAGAACAAAAAAAGCUUCUUUUAAUUGAUUUAACUCAUUAGUUUAAAAGAGCUAUUAAUUGUAAUUUAAGAAAAGUUACCGCAGGGAUAACAGCGUUAUUUUUCUGGAAAGUUCGAAUUGAAGGAGAAGUUUGCGACCUCGAUGUUGGAUUAGAAAACCAAAUGGGCGAAGAAACUCAUUAAAGGAGGUCUGUUCGACCUUUAAAUUUCUACAUGAUCUGAGU
rnacentral:rRNA from 1 species